rnacentral:ncRNA from 1 species
AGCCAAAUGCCUAGUCGUCUAAUUAGUGACAUGUGUGAAUGGAUUAACAAGAUUCCCAUUGUCCCUAGCUACUAUCUAUAGAAACCACAACCAAGGAAUAUUAG